rnacentral:lncRNA from 1 species
GACGUUUUCUUCGGCUCUGGCCUUGACGAUGUGCAGAAGAAGAAAGGAUCGUUUCAGCAUUCCAGUUUCCUAGCUGGUGGAGCCAUAACAUGUGCUGGACGAUUGGUGGUCAAAGAUGGAAUUCUGAAGGUAUGUUCAUGUAACCAUAAGAAUUAAGAAACAUCAAACAUGACUAGGAAUUAAUAUCACUUUUUCUUCUUCUCAAAAUACCUGACGGUGCUCCAUUUCUUCAGGCAAUAUGGCCAUACAGUGGCCACUACCUUCCAACGGAAGACAACUUCAGAGAUUUCAUUCGCUUCCUACAGGAGAACGACGUUAGCCUCACCGAUGUCAAGGUAAAUACCAGAUCAUAUCCAUAUCACGAGAUAGAUAAUUUCCUUACAAGAAUUACUACUGCAAGUAAAUCAUCAGAACUGUUGCAAAUGACGCGUGAUUUGUUUCAGAAAUCUGCUAUCGACAAACAGGACGAGUACCCGUUGCUGAGCAACUCUGAGACUCAGCCUGAACAUGUUGAGAAUAACGAUGCAGCAGGUGCCGCUGCUCAAGAUCUGACCGAAGUUGAGAUAGACGGCGUCCUCACCGGCGAGGCAUAUCAUGGAUUGGCCGACCACGGUGACAUGAGCGAUGCUGAGGAAGAUGCCCGCACUCCGGUGGACUCCCACACCACCGACACCGAAGAAGAAGAAGAGGUCAAUAAUAUCUCAG